rnacentral:rRNA from 1 species
ACGGGUGGGUAACGCGUGGGAAUCUACCCUUUUCUGCGGAAUAACGCAGGGAAACUUGUGCUAAUACCGUAUGUGUCCUUCGGGAGAAAGAUUUAUCGGGAAAGGAUGAGCCCGCGUUGGAUUAGCUAGUUGGUGGGGUAAAGGCCUACCAAGGCGACGAUCCAUAGCUGGUCUGAGAGGAUGAUCAGCCACAUUGGGACUGAGACACGGCCCAAACUCCUACGGGAGGCAGCAGUGGGGAAUAUUGGACAAUGGGCGCAAGCCUGAUCCAGCCAUGCCGCGUGAGUGAUGAAGGCCCUAGGGUUGUAAAGCUCUUUCACCGGAGAAGAUAAUGACGGUAUCCGGAGAAGAAGCCCCGGCUAACUUCGUGCCAGCAGCCGCGGUAAUACGAAGGGGGCUAGCGUUGUUCGGAAUUACUGGGCGUAAAGCGCACGUAGGCGGAUCGAUCAGUCAGGGGUGAAAUCCCAGGGCUCAACCCUGGAACUGCCUUUGAUACUGUCGAUCUGGAGUAUGGAAGAGGUGAGUGGAAUUCCGAGUGUAGAGGUGAAAUUCGUAGA